ACGAACGCUGGCGGCGUGCUUAACACAUGCAAGUCGAACGGGUCUGCCCUGUUUUUUGCGGGGUGGGUCAGUGGCGAACGGGUGAGUAACACGUGAGUAACCUGCCCCUCACUUCUGGAUAACCGCUUGAAAGGGUGGCUAAUACGGGGUGUUCUGGCUGUGCCGCAUGGUGUGGCUGGGAAAGAUACACUUUUGUGGUGUUUUGGUGGGGGAUGGGCUCGCGGCCUAUCAGCUUGUUGGUGGGGUGAUGGCCUGCCAAGGCUUUGACGGGUAGCCGGCCUGAGAGGGUGGGCGGUCACACUGGGACUGAGAUACGGCCCAGACUCCUGCGGGAGGCAGCAGUGGGGGGUAUUGCACAAUGGGCGGAAGCCUGAUGCAGCUACGUCGCGUGAGGGAUGGAGGCCUUCGGGUUGUGAACCUCUUUCGCCGGUGAAGAAGGUCCUGCUCUUUGUGGUGGGGUUGACGGUAGCCGGGUUAUGAAGCGCCGGCUAACUACGU
rnacentral:rRNA from 1 species